rnacentral:rRNA from 1 species
GAUGAACGCUGGCGGCGUGCUUAACACAUGCAAGUCGAACGGAAAGGCCCAAGCUUGCUUGGGUACUCGAGUGGCGAACGGGUGAGUAACACGUGGGUGAUCUGCCCUGCACUUCGGGAUAAGCCUGGGAAACUGGGUCUAAUACCGGAUAGGACCACAUUUUGGAUGGUGUGGUGGAAAGUUGUUCGGUGUGGGAUGAGCUCGCGGCCUAUCAGCUUGUUGGUGGGGUAAUGGCCUACCAAGGCGUCGACGGGUAGCCGGCCUGAGAGGGUGUACGGCCACAUUGGGACUGAGAUACGGCCCAGACUCCUACGGGAGGCAGCAGUGGGGAAUAUUGCACAAUGGGCGCAAGCCUGAUGCAGCGACGCCGCGUGGGGGAUGACGGCCUUCGGGUUGUAAACUCCUUUCGCUAGGGACGAAGCGUUAUGUGACGGUACCUGGAGAAGAAGCACCGGCUAACUACGUG